rnacentral:rRNA from 1 species
AGUGGACGCUGGCGGUAGGCCUAACACAUGCAAGUCGAACGGCAGCACAGGAGAGCUUGCUCUCUGGGUGGCGAGUGGCGGACGGGUGAGGAAUACAUCGGAAUCUACUCUGUCGUGGGGGAUAACGUAGGGAAACUUACGCUAAUACCGCAUACGACCUACGGGUGAAAGCAGGGGAUCUUCGGACCUUGCGCGAUUGAAUGAGCCGAUGUCGGAUUAGCUAGUUGGCGGGGUAAAGGCCCACCAAGGCGACGAUCCGUUGCUGGUCUGAGAGGAUGAUCAGCCACCCGGUGACUGAGACACGGUCCAGACUCCUACGGGAGGCAGCAGUGGGGAAUAUUGGACAAUGGGCGCAAGCCUGAUCCAGCCAUGCCGCGUGGGUGAAGAAGGCCUUCGGGUUGUAAAGCCCUUUUGUUGGGAAAGAAAUCCAGCUGGCUAAUACCCGGUUGGGAUGACGGUACCCAAAGAAUAAGCACCGGCUAACUUCGUGCCAGCCGCCGCAGUAA